rnacentral:rRNA from 1 species
GUGUCAGCAGCCGCGGUAAUACGGAGGGUGCAAGCGUUAUCCGGAUUCACUGGGUUUAAAGGGUGCGUAGGCGGGCAGGUAAGUCAGUGGUGAAAUCUUUGGGCUUAACCCGAAAACUGCCAUUGAUACUAUCUGUCUUGAAUAUUGUGGAGGUUUGCGGAAUAUGUCAUGUAGCGGUGAAAUGCUUAGAGAUGACAUAGAACACCUAUUGCGAAGGCAGCAAACUACGCAUAUAUUGACGCUGAGGCACGAAAGCGUGGGGAUCAAACAGGAUUAGAUACCCUGGUAGUCC